rnacentral:lncRNA from 1 species
UUUCUGAUUAUUAAACUGCUUUGCUGCUCAUCAGCCCACUUUCCAGCCUUGGCGGUUCAGCUGCCUGGACUGAUUUCAAGGUCAAAAGGUGCAAGGAUGGUACUCAGGAGGGGAAGGCUCCUCGACCACAUGGGAAGAGAUUUCAAAGAAAUCCAAGGCACGCAGCAGCAGCGUUUCUAGUUUGAAAUCGGUUUCUUUUUCCAUUAUUGGGAAUCGCUUCCCAUCUCUAACUUCAAGACUUGGACCCUUUCAAGUUUCCUAGUCGGGAACACCAUCCAUUAUUUGAAAAGGCUGCUCAUCUUCAAGUCAGCAGUGACGGAUUUGGAGUUAAUUUUGGAAAUCCAAAGCCAAGAGCUUGAUAUUACCGGAUUGCUGAUGCAACUAGUGGGCAUGAAAUUUUGAGGGAGUCUAUAGGAGAUGAAGUAACUCCAAAUGCAAAUCAUGACCAGCCCUCAUUGGAGCAGAAUUCUCCAGUAAUAUCCCCUUCACAAAAUGGAACUCAAAGGGUUCUCAUGGCAAAAAGAGCAAAGCAAAUGAAAGCAAGUGCAAAGCUCACAAAAUGACAAAGUAAAAUGGUGCACU